rnacentral:rRNA from 1 species
AGUUUGAUCCUGGCUCAGAUUGAACGCUGGCGGCAUGCCUUACACAUGCAAGUCGAACGGUAACAGGUCUUCGGAUGCUGACGAGUGGCGAACGGGUGAGUAAUACAUCGGAACGUGCCCGAUCGUGGGGGAUAACGAGGCGAAAGCUUUGCUAAUACCGCAUAAGAUCUAUGGAUGAAAGCAGGGGACCGCAAGGCCUUGCGCGAACGGAGCGGCCGAUGGCAGAUUAGGUAGUUGGUGGGGUAAAGGCUUACCAAGCCUACGAUCUGUAGCUGGUCUGAGAGGACGACCAGCCACACUGGGACUGAGACACGGUCCAGACUCCUACGGGAGGCAGCAGUGGGGAAUAUUGGACAAUGGGCGAAAGCCUGAUCCAGCCAUGCCGCGUGCAGGAUGAAGGCCUUCGGGUUGUAAACUGCUUUUGUACGGAACGAAAAGCCUCUUUCUAAUAAAGGGAGGUCAUGACGGUACCGUAAGAAUAAGCACCGGCUAACUUCGUGCCAGCAGCCGCGGUAA